rnacentral:rRNA from 1 species
CAUCUAGGCGGUCAAUCAAGUCGAAGGUGAAAACUUGUGGCUCAACCAUAAGCUUGCCUACGAAACUGAUUAGCUAGAGUACUGGAGAGGUGGACGGAACUACACGAGUAGAGGUGAAAUUCGUAGAUAUGUGUAGGAAUGCCGAUGAUGAAGAUAGUUCACUGGACAGAAACUGACGCUGAAGUGCGAAAGCUAGGGGAGCAAACA